GAGGGUAUGGCUCAGCGGUAGAGUGUGUGCUUGGCAUGCAUGAGGUCCUGGGUUCAAUCCCCAGUACCUUCA
rnacentral:tRNA from 1 species